rnacentral:rRNA from 1 species
AUUGAACGCUGGCGGCAGGCCUAACACAUGCAAGUCGAGCGAGCGGCGGACGGGUGAGUAAUGUCUGGGAAAAUGCCUGAUGGAGGGGGAUAACUACUGGAAACGGUAGCUAAUACCGCACACCAUCAGCUGUCGCCAGAGGGGAAUAGCUAGUCGGGGGGGUAACGGCUCACCUAGGCGACGAUCCCUAGCUGGUCUGAGAGGAUGAUCAGCCACACUGGAACUGAGACACGGUCCAGACUCCUACGGGAGGCAGCAGUGGGGAAUAUUGCACAAUGGGCGCAAGCCUGAUGCAGCCAUGCCGCGUGUGUGAAGAAGGCCUUCGGGUUGUAAAGCACUGUCAGCGGGGAGGCGUUACCCGCAGAAGAAGCACCGGCUAACUCCGUGCCAGCAGCCGCGGUAAUUC